UACGUAGGCAGCAAGCGUUGUUCGGAAUUACUGGGCGUAAAGGGCUCGUAGGCGGCCAACUAAGUCAUACGUGAAAUCCCCCGGCUUAACCGGGGAACUGCGUCUGAUACUGGAUGGCUUGAGUUCGGGAGAGGGAUGCGGAAUUCCAGGUGUAGCGGUGAAAUGCGUAGAUAUCUGGAGGAACACCGGUGGCGAAGGCGGCAUCCUGGACCGAUACUGACGCUGAGGAGCGAAAGCCAGGGGAGCAACGGG
rnacentral:rRNA from 1 species